ensembl:ncRNA F19D8.6 ncRNA
GUUGAAAUUUUCCAAACGAGCAAACGACCGAAAAUUUAACUACGAAAAGUGAGAGAAACUGAGAUUUUUGAGACUUUAGCGGCUCUUAAAAAUUUGCGAAGCGUGAUAAUUGGAGCAUGUUAUGCUCUCAAAAAUCCUGGAAGUUGCCGGCAAACAUAAAAACCCUUCUUUUCGUUUUCAAAAUAUGCUGAGAGAAUAUGGAACACCAU